CGCUCCCCCCAAAUGGAGGCUACUUCAUCCUCCCUAAUCCACCUGAAAAAGCGAUGGGGUGAAAUAAUUGACGGACAGUCCCCGUUUCCAAUCGGAGCGCUGAGCGCAGUCUGGCCAGCCUAUGGGGCUCGGUUGCUAAAGAAGCGAGAAUGCGGGCUUCUCAGAUGCAGAAAGUACCGUGUGACAGAGGGUCACAGGAACUGAAGGGCAUUUGAGUUUAUUUACAUGACUGCUAAGGAGAAUAAUUGUGCUUACAUCCCUGGACAUCUCCAGUGGGAAAUUCUGCAUUUGGGACCUCCUGAAUGCUAGGAAGUUGAACUUGAAUAUAUGUGGAAACUGGAGUGGGAAGAAC